rnacentral:rRNA from 1 species
GUCUACGGCCGUACCACCCUGAACACGCCCGAUCACGUCUGAUCUCGGAAGCUAAGCAGGGUCGGGCCUGGAUAGUACUUGGAUGGGAGAGAUGUCUCCAUGGUGAGGAGAAUUUGCUGCUCUCC